ACGCGAGUGCAAGCAAAUCUCAAAAAUAACGUCUCAGUUCGGAUUGUAGUCUGCAACUCGACUACAUGAAGCUGGAAUCGCUAGUAAUCGCGAAUCAGAAUGUCGCGGUGAAUACGUUCCCGGGUCUUGUACACACCGCCCGUCACACCAUGAGAGUCGGGAACACCCGAAGUCCGUAGUCUAACCGCAAGGGGGACGCGGCCGAAGGUGGGUUCGAUAAUUGGGGUGAAGUCGUAACAAGGUAAC
rnacentral:rRNA from 1 species